GCUGGGCAUGGUGGAGCACACCUGUAAUCCCAGCAGCUCAGGAGGCUGAGGCAGGAGGAUUGCAAGUUCAAAAACAGCCUCAGCAAAAGCGGGGUGCUAAGCAACUCAGUGAGACCCUGUCUCUG
rnacentral:sRNA from 1 species